GUCUUUUGCAUAGCUCAGUUGGCUAGAGCGUGGUGCCGAUAACACCAAGGUCACAGGUUUGAUCCCCAUAUGAGACA